UGCACUGCCGAGUACUGCAACUCCCGAGGGAUAGAGACGUCAGGCAGUGCCCCGGGGAGCCCUCUCGUCCCCCCGCCAGCAGCAGUGGAGGCUGCUGGCUGAGCAGCUUACCGGGAUUGACACCUGAAGAGUCAUCACCACUGCAGGGCUGCCACCGAGGGAAAAAAUUGCCAAGAGGGCAUCAAAAGCAGCCCCCCCAUCAGCAAACAUCUCGUCAAAUUAGGACCGACGCAGCUCAGGGGGCUGCCGCCCUGGUCGCUGUUUGCAGGGCUGUGGAACCACCUAUACCCUGUCUGGAGUGACUCCCUGCCUCUGCCCAAGCCCCGUCUCCAGCCGCACUCAGGGGGAUCUUCAACCUUGACGCUCUCUGCACCCCAAGCCUCUGCUCCCUACCAUGGGACUGGCUGGAGGGGGCAUUAUUUGGAAGGUUUUGGGGGGGGAAGGAUCUUUUUCAUUUGAGGAGGAGCUCUCACUCUGUGGGACUGUUGUUGGGGACAGACUCGAAGUGGGGCAGCACCUGUGAACCUGUUUCAAAACAUCUCUCUGAAGAGCAGGGGAAAGAAGCUCAAUCUGACAUCAGUCAUUUCUGUCUUUGGAGUCUGUGCAGCAGCUGAACUGAGGACAUAAGUAAAGAGGAAUACAAAGGAGCUGAAGUUCAUGGAAAGGACACUUGAAGAAGACCCCUUACUUCAUCACUGAAGACUAUGAGAGGGACCACCGGAUAAAAAGAGACAUGCGUGGAAGAGACACCUCCCAUUCCUAAAACUGAUAAGGAAAACCCAACCUUUUCUUAGAAUUAGUACUGAAUUUAUAAUAGAAUAGGGUAUAAAAAGAGAAAACUGAAGGCAAAGGGUGUACAUUAGGGUAGAGCAGAGCCUCCCUGCCCAGACAGACCUGUACAUUGCUUGAUUCCUGCAACUCUAUUAAAAGCCUCAACUUGAAUGAACACAAGU